rfam:Xylona heveae TC161 unplaced genomic scaffold L228scaffold_9, whole genome shotgun sequence.
GGUCGGUUAGCUCAGUUGGUUAGAGCGUGGUGCUAAUACCUUUGUCCUCUUGCUUUAGCAAGAGACUUCAGUUAACGCCAAGGUCGCGGGUUCGACCCCCGUACUGACCA